UGCAGCACCGAGGUGCCACGGGGGGUGGAUUUGGGGUGCAGCACCGGAGCAGCAUGGGGGGUGGAUUUGGGGUGCAGCACCGAGGUGCCACGGGGUGGGUGGAUUUGGGGUGCAGCACAGGUGCCACGGGGGGGUGGAUUUGGGGUGCCCUGCUCUGCGGUGCCGGGGACCCCCUGCCUGCCCCCGUUUUGGGGCUCCCCACCCACCAGCACCACCAGGUCGACGCGCGCCUGCGCCAGCAGGUCCAGCCGGUACCGGUCGUCCUGGCGCGUCCCCAGCGCCGCCCCGCACAGCAGCUGCUUCCGCGCGUCCUUGGACGCCCCCGGGUGCUCCCGGUUCUUGCGCAGGUCCGUGCGCGCCAUGAUGGCCACCAGCUCGUCACGCGCGUUCACGAUCGGCAGCUUCCCUGGGACACAGAGGUGACAACAGGGAUGGGGAUGGGGGGACACAGAGGUGACAACAGGGAAGUGGGAUAUGGUGAUGACACCAGGGAUGGGGACGUGGAGGUGACACCAGGGAUGGGGACAGGGGAACCCCAAGGUGACCCCUCAUUCACAUGCACCACGAUGGCCACCAGCUCAUCACGCGCGUUCAUGAGCGGCAGCUUCCCUGGGACACAGGUGACAACAGGGAAGUGGGAUAUGGUGAUGACACCAGGGAUGGGGACAUGGAGGUGACACCAGGGAUGGGGAUGAGGGAACCCCAAGGUGACCCCUCAUGCAUGUGCGCCACCAUGGCCACGAGCUCGUCACGCA